CCUGCCCACUGAUAUAAAUUAAAGGGCCGCGGUAUUUUAACCGUGCGAAGGUAGCAUAAUCAUUAGUCUUUUAAUUGGGGGCUUGUAUGAACGGCUGGACAAAAGAAAGACUGUCUAUAGAUAAAAUUUGAAUUUAACUUUUAAGUGAAAAGGCUUAAAUUAACUAAAGGGACGAUAAGACCCUGUAAAGCUUUAUACAUGACUAGUUUAAUUUAAAGCUAAUAUUAAAGGAUAAAGCUGGGGAAGGUAUUUUAUUGGGGAGAUAAAAAUAUAAUUAUGGAGUAACUGUUUUAAUAAUAUACUUUGAUUUUUGAAUAAGAAAAAAAAUUGAUCCUAUUUAUGGAUUUAAAGAUUAAGUUACUUUAGGGAUAACAGCGUAAUUUUUUUUGAGAGCCCAUAUCGAAAAAAGAGUUUGCGACCUCGAUGUUGAAUUAAAUUAUCUUUAUAAUGAAGAAGUUAUACAAGAAAGCCUGUUCGACUUUUAAAUUUUUACGUGAUCUGGUGU
rnacentral:rRNA from 1 species